rnacentral:rRNA from 1 species
UACGCAGGGGGCUAGCGUUGUUCGGAAUUAUUGGGCGUAAAGAGCUCGUAGGCGGUUUGUCGCGUCUGCCGUGAAAGUCCGGGGCUCAACUCCGGAUCUGCGGUGGGUACGGGCAGACUAGAGUGAUGUAGGGGAGACUGGAAUUCCUGGUGUAGCGGUGAAAUGCGCAGAUAUCAGGAGGAACACCGAUGGCGAAGGCAGGUCUCUGGGCAUUAACUGACGCUGAGGAGCGAAAGCAUGGGGAGCGAACAGG